GCCCACGUAGCUCAACCGGAAAGAGCAGCGGUUUACGAAGCCGCAGGCUGCUGGUUCGACUCCAGCCGUGGGCA
rnacentral:tRNA from 1 species